rnacentral:rRNA from 1 species
GACGAACGCUGGCGGCGUGCUUAACACAUGCAAGUCGAACGGAAAGGCCCUGCUUUUGUGGGGUGCUCGAGUGGCGAACGGGUGAGUAACACGUGAGUAACCUGCCCUUGACUUUGGGAUAACUUCAGGAAACUGGGGCUAAUACCGGAUAGGAGCUCCUGCUGCAUGGUGGGGGUUGGAAAGUUUCGGCGGUUGGGGAUGGACUCGCGGCUUAUCAGCUUGUUGGUGGGGUAGUGGCUUACCAAGGCUUUGACGGGUAGCCGGCCUGAGAGGGUGACCGGCCACAUUGGGCCUGAGAUACGGCCCAGACUCCUACGGGGGGCAGCGGUGGGGAAUAUUGCAAAAUGGGCGGAAGCCUGAUGCAGCAACGCCGCGUGCGGGAUGACGGCCUUCGGGUUGUAAACCGCUUUCGCCUGUGACGAAGCGUGAGUGACGGUACUGGGUAAAGAAGCACCGGCUAACUACGU